UAUACUAACAACAUCUUUCUCAAAUAAUAUAACGUUAUACACAGGUAAUACUAAAGUAUAUAACUACAUAUUAAUGUUUCAAGAGACGUUCACAAUGGAAAAGCUGGAGGGAGCAAAUGAUGUUUGGUGUGAAAAGAUUUGCAGUUCAUGAGACGGAUGAAUACUUUUAGAAAAGCUGGUACAAGAGGAGGCUACAUUACAAAUUAUGAAAUGAGCUCAAGAAGUCAAUCAUGGCAUUUAAAGCAGCCAUGUAGCACGAAAAAG